rnacentral:rRNA from 1 species
UACGAGUGCCCCGAGCGUUAUCCGGAAUCAUUGGGCGUAAAGGGUGUGUAGGUGGUCAGAUUAGUCUUGUGUUAAAUUCUUCGGCUUAACCGGGGGCAUGCAUAGGAAACGGUCUGACUUGAGGAUGCGAGAGGUGUGUGGAACUCAUGGUGUAGGGGUGAAAUCCGUUGAUAUCAUGGGGACACCAAAAGGCGAAGGCAGCACACUGGCGCAUUC